rnacentral:rRNA from 1 species
AUUCCAGCUCCAGUAGCGUAUAUUAAAGCUGUUGCAGUUAAAAAGCUCGUAGUUGGAUCUUGGGUCCAGGCCUGCGGUCCGCCGUGAGGCGUGUACUGCUGUCCUGGCCUUCCUCUCGGUUUUCGCCCGGUGCUCUUAAUUGAGUGCCAGGAGAGGCCGGAACGUUUACUUUGAAAAAAUUGGAGUGUUCAAAGCAGGCCUCGCGCCUGAACAGCAGAGCAUGGAAUAAUGGAAUAGGACCUCGGUUCUAUUGCGUUGGUUUUCGGAACUCGAGGUAAUGAUUAAGAGGGACUGACGGGGGCAUUCGUAUUGCGGUGUGAGAGGUGAAAUUCUUGGAUCGCCGCAAGACGACCGACUGCGAAAGCAUUUGCCAAGAAUGUUUUCAUUA